UACGAAGGGGGCUAGCGUUGCUCGGAAUCACUGGGCGUAAAGCGCACGUAGGCGGAUUGCUAAGUCAGGGGUGAAAUCCUGGAGCUCAACUCCAGAACUGCCUUUGAUACUGGCGAUCUUGAGUCCGGGAGAGGUGAGUGGAACUGCGAGUGUAGAGGUGAAAUUCGUAGAUAUUCGGCAAGAACACCAGUGGCGAAGGCGGCUCACUGGCCCGAUACUGACGCUGAGGCACGAA
rnacentral:rRNA from 1 species